rnacentral:rRNA from 1 species
UUCCGGUUGAUCUUGCCGGACCCCACUGCUAUCGGGAUAGGACUAAGACAUGCUAGUCGAGCGCUUCAGCCAAAACGAGGCGCGGCAUACAGCUCAGUAACACGUGGCUAAUCUGCCCUUAGGACAGGAACAACCCCGGGAAACUGGGGCUAAUUCUCAAUAGGCGAAGAACUCUGGAAUGAGUCUUCACCAGAAAAGAGCCUGCGUUAUGCUCGUAGGUUUCGCCUAAGGAUGAGGCCGCGACCGAUCAGGUUGUUGGUGAGGUAAUGGCUCACCAAGCCUUUUACCGGUGCGGGCCGUGAGAGCGGGAGCCCGGAGAUGGGCACUGAGACAAGGGCCCAGGCCCUACGGGGCGCAGCAGUCGCGAAAACUUUGCAAUACACGCAAGUGUGACAGGGCUAUCCCGAGUGCCAUCCGCUGAGGAAGGCUUUUACCCAGUCUAGAAAGCUGGGGGAAUAAGGAGAGGGCAAGUCUGGUGUCAGCCGCCGCGGUAAUACCAGCUCUCCGAGUGGUGUGGAUGUUUAUUGGGCCUAAAGCAUCCGUAGCUGGCUAGGUCAGUCCCUUGUUAAAUCCACCGAAUUAAUCGUUGGAUUGCGGGGGAUACUGCCUGGCUAGGGAACGAGAGAGGCAGACGGUAUUUUCGGGGUAGGGGUGAAAUCCUAUAAUCCCGGGAAGACCACCAGUGGCGAAGGCUGUCUGCUAGAACGCGUCCGACGGUGAGGGAUGAAAGCUGGGGGAGCGAACCGGAUUAGAUACCCGGGUAGUCCCAGCUGUAAACGAUGCAGGCUAGGUGUUUGGACGGCCACGUGCCGUUCUAGUGCCGCAGGGAAGCUGUUAAGCCUGCCGCCUGGGGAGUACGAUCGCAAGAUUGAAACUUAAAGGAAUUGGCGGGGGAGCACCGCAAGGGGUGAAGCUUGCGGUUUAAUUGGAUUCAACGCCGGG